rnacentral:rRNA from 1 species
AUGCUGAGCUGGGAGAGCAACAUGUUUGUGCAUCCCCCAGAGAUCCUGACACUGAACUCAAAGAAAUCAACCAAAAUCAACUCUUUACCUAGGUGCUCUGCAGAAACUCCUUCAAACUCUUCAGUUGGGGAUCCAAAGAAAAUGAUCCACAUCUCCACCCUGACCUCGUCCCCGUCCUCCGUGGGCUUUCAGUUCGACGCAGACGGCGUCGUGGGGUGGGAGCAGCGCGAGCAUGAGCUGAGGUUGGAUCUUCGAGGGGCUGGGAUGGACGGAUCCGCGGACCAUUUAGUGGCCCUUGGAGAGGAGGAGCUUGAUGAGCCACGAGGCGAUGAAGCCUCCUGCGCUGGUCACGCACACGCUCUUCCUAGCCGCCGCCGCCUCCAUGCUCUUUCUUACUCCCCACUCCCACCACCAUCACCCCCUGCACGAACCUCCUCUGCCACGCAUCUCCUGCAGCCACCUCCGUGCGAGUAA